ensembl:snoRNA
ACUGGUGUUAGGGAUGACACAUUUGCCAUCACUGAGAUGACAGUUUGGUGCUGAGAAUCUUGGUUUUUGUACACAUCAGU